rnacentral:snRNA from 1 species
GUGCUUGCUUCAGCAGCACAAAUACUAAAACUGAAAUGAUACAGAGAAGAUUAGCAUGGUCCCUUUGCAAAGAUGAUACACAAAUUUGUGAAAUGUUCCAUAUUUUA